AGAUCAAGAGACUGAAAGAUUACCUCACGGUAUUACAACAAAGGCUAGAAAGCACAACAGAACAACAGGGAGCCCUAUCUUCAGAACUGCCAAGCACAUCACCUUCAUCAGUUGCUGCCAUUUCAUCGAGAUCAGUAAUACACAAACCAUUUACUCAGUCCCGGAUACCUCCAGAUUUGCCCAUGCAUCCGGCACCAAGGCACAUAACGGAGGAAGAACUUUCUGUGCUGGAAAGUUGUUUACAUCGCUGGAGGACAGAAAUAGAAAAUGACACCAGAGAUUUGCAGGAAAGCAUAUCCAGAAUCCAUCGAACAAUUGAAUUAAUGUACUCUGACAAAUCUAUGAUACAAGUUCCUUAUCGAUUACAUGCCGUUUUAGUUCACGAAGGCCAAGCUAAUGCUGGGCACUACUGGGCAUAUAUUUUUGAUCAUCGUGAAAGCAGAUGGAUGAAGUACAAUGAUAUUGCUGUGACAAAAUCAUCAUGGGAAGAGCUAGUGAGGGACUCUUUUGGUGGUUAUAGAAAUGCCAGUGCAUACUGUUUAAUGUACAUAAAUGAUAAGGCACAGUUCCUAAUACAAGAGGAGUUUAAUAAAGAAACUGGGCAGCCCCUU
rnacentral:lncRNA from 1 species